GUAAAUUAAGAAAAAAUCAAAGUACAAAUGUUUAAUGAAUUAAAUCUUCUGAAUCGAAUAACAAAAAUCUAAUAUACUUGCUAUGAAACUCUCGGUUGUGCCAAGCGUUUUACACUCACCAGUAACAGCUUUUUCUCUUCUUUGAUCUAUUCCCUUUUCAUUGUGGGAAGUGUGUAAAGACAACUUGCCGUCAGCUACAGCAUCUAUAACUGCUUUGAGGAUACAGUAAACUACGAUGACUAUUUAACAAAAUCUUUUUUUAAAAUAAAGCCAUACUGAAGGAUAAUCGGUAUAACAAUGCUUAACAUUAUUUACCAAUUCAGUGGAAUUACAGAACAAAGAGAUGCACUUUUUGUUCAAUUGAGUUAUGUCAACCACAAGCACAUACAUUGGGAACGACGGCAUCGUAAUGGAUAAGAUUAAGGACAUUAAACUUAAGUAAUGUGUAAUGUAGUGAGAUAUCGAUGACAGUUAAUGUUAACGACAGCAUAGCGAUUAGUCCUAAUGCGUUGCUCUUACUUUCCUUAUUUUUUAUUUUUCAGUAAUUAAUAAAUUAUCUUGAGGCUUCCGUUCCUUUUGAGCAGAAUAAAUCAAUGAAUAAAAAGUUUUAUAGAGAAGUUAAGACAAUUAUUUUUUAAUAAUAAGUAUUGCUAAACUGAUAGAUAUGGGCUGCACAUUAACAGUAAACUUUCCAAUUCUACUAGAAAGCUAACAAGCCACCAUUCAGCCAAAG